AGAGCAGCAUUCUCUUGGCGAGAUUCACGUGGCUAUAAAGUAUAAACAACUGACCUUCAUGCGUUUGGGCGGUAAUACAUGUAUCGUGGAAUGGAUUCAAAUGGAUUAUUCAGCAAAAAAUAGUAUUCGUAAUUCGUUUUAUUUUUCUCAUUGGUUUGUUCUUGAAUAACACCAAGUGGAGUAAUAGUAAAUGGUUAGUAACGAGUUAGUAAUAACUAGAUAUAUAAUGGUCAAUAUGAGACUUCUGUACUAUAACAGGUUCAUUUCGAUGAGAAGACA
rnacentral:lncRNA from 1 species